rnacentral:rRNA from 1 species
AUUGAACGCUGGCGGCAGGCUUAACACAUGCAAGUCGAACGAGUGGCGGACGGGUGAGUAAUGCUUGGGAAUCAAGCUUAUGGAGGGGGAUAACUACGGGAAACUGUAGCUAAUACCGCGUACCAUAGGAUGAGCCCAAGUGGGAUUAGGUAGUUGGUUAGGGAAAGGCUCACCAAGCCGACGAUCUCUAGCUGGUCUGAGAGGAUGACCAGCCACUCUGGGACGGAGCCACGGCCCAGACUCCGCCUAGAGGCAGCCGUGGGGAAUAUUGCGCAAUGGGGGCAACCUGACGCAGCCAUGCCGCGUGAAUGAAGAAGGCCUUCGGGUUGUAAAGUUCUUUCGGUAGCGAGGCGUUAACUACAGAAGAAGCACUGGCUAACUCCGUGCCAGCAGCCGCGGUAAUUC